AACGAAUGCUAGCGGCAUGCCUAACACAUGCAAGUCGAACGAGAUCUUCGGGUCUAGUGGCGCACGGGUGCGUAACGCGUGGGAAUCUGCCCUUUGGUUCGGAAUAACAGUUGGAAACGACUGCUAAUACCGGAUGAUGACGAAAGUCCAAAGAUUUAUCGCCAGAGGAUGAGCCCGCGUAGGAUUAGCUAGUUGGUGUGGUAAAGGCGCACCAAGGCGACGAUCCUUAGCUGGUCUGAGAGGAUGAUCAGACACACUGGGACUGAGACACGGCCCAGACUCCUACGGGAGGCAGCAGUGGGGAAUAUUGGACAAUGGGCGAAAGCCUGAUCCAGCAAUGCCGCGUGAGUGAUGAAGGCCUUAGGGUUGUAAAGCUCUUUUACCCGGGAUGAUAAUGACAGUACCGGGAGAAUAAGCUCCGGCUAACUCCGUGCCAGCCGCCGCGGUAAGAC
rnacentral:rRNA from 1 species